UACGGGGGGGGCAAGCGUUGUUCGGAAUUACUGGGCGUAAAGGGCGCGUAGGCGGCCUUCUAAGUCGAACGUGAAAUCCCCGGGCUCAACCCGGGAACUGCGUCCGAGACUGGAAGGCUCGAAUCCCGGAGAGGGAUGUGGAAUUCCAGGUGUAGCGGUGAAAUGCGUAGAUAUCUGGAGGAACAUCGGUGGCGAAGGCGGCAUCCUGGACCGGUAUUGACGCUGAGGCGCGAAAGCCAGGGGAGCAAACGGG
rnacentral:rRNA from 1 species